UUGAUAGCACUGGAGACUGAAGGCUCCUACUGAACCACAGCCCGGGUGAAGCUCAGACAUAGGCAAUGACAAUCCCCCCUGCCUUCCCACCUCUGCCGCUCAGACUUACAGAGGAGACACACGUGGGAAGAGGGGCACAGGGGCUCAUGCUUGGUUUCCUCGUGGUCAUCUCACAGGCUGGCUUCA
rnacentral:sRNA from 1 species